rnacentral:rRNA from 1 species
CAAAGGAGAGAUCCGGUACCGGCUGGGCAUGCGGCGCAUUAGCUAGUUGGCGGGGCAACGGCCCACCAAGGCGACGAUGCGUAGGGGUUCUGAGAGGAAGGUCCCCCACACUGGAACUGAGACACGGUCCAGACUCCUACGGGAGGCAGCAGUGAGGAAUAUUGGUCAAUGGGCGCAAGCCUGAACCAGCCAAGUCGCGUGAGGGAAGACGGCCCUACGGGUUGUAAACCUCUUUUGCCGGGGAGCAAGCCUGAGCACGUGUGCCCAGGCGGAGAGUACCCGGAGAAAAAGCAUCGGCUAACUCCGUGCCAGCAGCCGCGGUAAUACGGAGGAUGCGAGCGUUAUCCGGAUUUAUUGGGUUUAAAGGGUGCGCAGGCGGGCUGUUAAGCCGGCGGUAAAAAUUCAGGGCUCAACCCUGUCGAGCCGUCGGAACUGGCAGUCUUGAGUGGGCGAGAAGUAUGCGGAAUGCGUGGUGUAGCGGUGAAAUGCAUAGAUAUCACGCAGAACGCCGAUUGCGAAGGCAGCAUACCGGCGCCCAACUGACGCUGAGGCACGAAAGCGUGGGGAUCGAACAGGAUUAGAUACCCUGGUAGUCCACGCAG